GUUAGCAUCGUUAGCUCCUGGUCACCGGCUCAGUCGUCGCCAUGUUGAGAGCCGUGUGGAGUCAAUGGCUGUGUCUACUACCGCGCACUUGAGCACUUGGAUCACUGACUUUCAGUGUUCGAAGUGCGCCACUGAAAAAUCCAGCAGAAUUCAGUGCACUGAAAGUCCCCGGAUGGUGCACUGCAAACGGGCAAAACAUGUUGUGUAAAACGAUGGACACUACUCGCCCUAAGCGGCCGCCAUCUUGGCUACGUACCGGAAGAGGAGGAGCCCUUUCGCCAGCUUUUCAUUUUAUUUCUAAAACAAUGGCGGACAGCACAAGCGGUAGACCACGAAGCUACAGACCGUAAAUAGACGUUUCCUGGAGGUGCUGGUGCUGGUCCUCUGCUGCCCUCCCGACAUCUGGCUCCAAUGACCUCUGGCACCUCACAUCCACCUCCAGGGCCUUUAAGAAGAUGGACCGCCAUCGCGUCUUCAGUAUCCCGAAGGACCUCUCCACAACACACCUGGCCUUUGACAGGCAGCAGUUGUAGCUUGGAGGUGGACAGGCUGCCUGAAGGAGGUCAUGAGGCAGAUGGGUUGGGACAGGCAGGGGUAGCCACCAUCCCCAAGGAUACAGUAUCCUGGUGGAGGGGAUGACUGCUCAUAGAAGAUGGGGCUGUUAUUCAGGACCCUGGCAUCAUGCACUGAGCCCGGGGCCUGUCGAAGGCCCUGGCCACCACCCGAUAGGAGGUGGCGCUGGCAAGCCAAAAAAUAAAAACUAGACAGGAGAUCUCGGGGCCCCAACCGUGGUCAGUCAGUGCCCAGCACAGCCAUGAGGGCGUUGAAUGACUCUCGGUGAGCCUGAAGUCCACCCUCAUGUCACUGUGGCCAUCACAAUACAACGCCAGCAGUGGCAUUGCAACAUUGAUACGGCAGCGCCGCCUGGGACUGGGUGGCUGCUGUAGAGUGUGUGGGGAGGGGAGGGGAAGGGAAGAUUAUAUUAAUAUGUAAGUCAUUUUAUCAAUAAAAUGUUGUCAUUGA